rnacentral:rRNA from 1 species
UACGAAGGGGGCUAGCGUUGCUCGGAAUCACUGGGCGUAAAGGGUGCGUAGGCGGGUCUUUAAGUCAGGGGUGAAAUCCUGGAGCUCAACUCCAGAACUGCCUUUGAUACUGAAGAUCUUGAGUUCGGGAGAGGUGAGUGGAACUGCGAGUGUAGAGGUGAAAUUUCGUAGAUAUUCGCAAAGAACACCAGUGGCGAAGGCGGCUCACUGGCCCGAUACUGACGCUGAGGCGCGAAAAGCGUGGGGGAGCAAACGG